GACGAACGCUGGCGGCGUGCCUAAUACAUGCAAGUAGAACGCUGAAGGAGGAGCUUGCUUCUCUGGAUGAGUUGCGAACGGGUGAGUAACGCGUAGGUAACCUGCCUGGUAGCGGGGGAUAACUAUUGGAAACGAUAGCUAAUACCGCAUAACAGUAGAUAUCGCAUGAUAUCUACUUGAAAGGUGCAAUUGCAUCACUACCAGAUGGACCUGCGUUGUAUUAGCUAGUCGGUGAGGUAACGGCUCACCAAGGCGACGAUACAUAGCCGACCUGAGAGGGUGAUCGGCCACACUGGGACUGAGACACGGCCCAGACUCCUACGGGAGGCAGCAGUAGGGAAUCUUCGGCAAUGGACGGAAGUCUGACCGAGCAACGCCGCGUGAGUGAAGAAGGUUUUCGGAUCGUAAAGCUCUGUUGUAAGAGAAGAACGAGUGUGAGAGUGGAAAGUUCACACUGUGACGGUAUCUUACCAGAAAGGGACGGCUAACUACGUG
rnacentral:rRNA from 1 species